CGCACACACUCACUGAUAGAUGCAUACACUCAUUGACAGACACACUCUCAUAUACACUGACAAUGACAUACACAUACUCACUGAUUUGACACACUGAUAGGCAGACAUACACUUACUCAGACACACACUCACUGACAGACUCACUGACAGAUGCACACUCUCAUUGACAGAGGCACACUCUCACUGACAGAUGCACGCACUCACUGACAGAUGCACGCACUCACCGACCGACACAUACACACUGACUGACCGACACACAUUCACUCACUGACACACACACUCACAUUCACUGACACGCUUUCACUGGCACACAUUCACUGACACACACUCACUCACACACACUCACAUUCACUGCCACACACUCACAUUCACUGACACACACUCACUCACAUUCACUGCCACACACUCACAUUCCCUGACACACACAUACAUUUCCCCACUAACUAUUAUUAAUGUUAUUAUUUUUUUAAUUGAAAUCCACCCAGCCUCCCUACUUUAGGGAUAGCUGGGUGGAUAUUUCACCUGGGGUCCAGUGGGGC